GGUGAGACGGGUAAAGGGGGGGCGGGGGAGGUGAGCAUACUUCUCCAUGGGACACUUGGAGUUCACAGCCUCCUGUCCGAUCCGGAGGAGCUUGGGGGCCUGCUUUGCCCUGAGGUAGAGACCCUUGAGCUGUUUGGGCACCAGGCUCUGCUUCUCACCCGUACGCCCUUUCUUGGGCGCAACCUUUGAAAGUACAAAGUAUGGCCGAUGGCAUCAGCUCGUCUGUUUUUUCUGGACUGUGUCUUGAAAGUCAUGGCUGUAGAUGUCCCUGUGUGAAUAUGCUUGACCAUCAACAUUUUACGUGUUGUUUCUUUAUAAACUUACAUUUUUGUUCUGCCCUUUGCCCUUCUUGCACUAACAGCCAUCAUUGUCUUCUCUCCCAUAGUCAUACUCUCUCUGAGCUGGGAUGCUGUCUGCUUAUUUGAUGCCCUCUUGUGGCUCAGAUUAUUAGUAUGCUGUUUGCCAUGAAAACCAGGAAAUGCAUUGGCAUCUUCACAGACAGUCUGGGAAGCAGUGUGCGACUCCAGGUCCUAGACAAGAUCAGGUAGGAUCACUGCUGUUGUACUCCACCAGGAAGUCUGAUCUCCGUGUCUCAUUUUUGUCUCCUCUCAGCAACAGUGACAGCCCAUCCACCUGGGUCUUUUUCAUAUCAUACCCUGUGAUAUCCAGAACAGUGAGACCCACAUCAAUAUUUGCAUCAAGCAUCUUGUUUGUCUGA
rnacentral:lncRNA from 14 species